rnacentral:rRNA from 1 species
CGGCGCAUUAGCUAGUUGGUGGGGUAAUGGCUCACCAAGGCGACGAUGCGUAGCCGACCUGAGAGGGUGAUCGGCCACACUGGGACUGAGACACGGCCCAGACUCCUACGGGAGGCAGCAGUAGGGAAUCUUCCGCAAUGGACGAAAGUCUGACGGAGCAACGCCGCGUGAGUGAUGAAGGUUUUCGGAUCGUAAAGCUCUGUUGUUAGGGAAGAACAAGUGCGAGAGUAACUGCUCGCACCUUGACGGUACCUAACCAGAAAGCCACGGCUAACUACGUGCCAGCAGCCGCGGUAAUACGUAGGUGGCAAGCGUUGUCCGGAAUUAUUGGGCGUAAAGGGCUCGCAGGCGGUUUCUUAAGUCUGAUGUGAAAGCCCCCGGCUCAACCGGGGAGGGUCAUUGGAAACUGGGAAACUUGAGUGCAGAAGAGGAGAGUGGAAUUCCACGUGUAGCGGUGAAAUGCGUAGAGAUGUGGAGGAACACCAGUGGCGAAGGCGACUCUCUGGUCUGUAACUGACGCUGAGGAGCGAAAGCGUGGGGAGCGAACAGGAUUAGAUACCCUGGUAGUCCACGCCGUAAACGAUGAGUGCUAAGUGUUAGGGGGUUUCCGCCCCUUAGUGCUGCAGCUAACGCAUUAAGCACUCCGCCUGGGGAGUACGGUCGCAAGACUGAAACUCAAAGGAAUUGACGGGGGCCCGCACAAGCGGUGGAGCAUGUGGU